rnacentral:rRNA from 1 species
UACGUAGGGGGCGAGCGUUGUCCGAAGUUACUGGGCGUAAAGCGCGCGUAGGCGGGUCAUUAAGUGGGAAGUGAAAGGCUGGGGCUCAACCCCAUGCAGUGCUUCUCAUACUGAUGGUCUUGAGUGAGGUAGGGAGAAGUGGAAUGGCUGGUGUAGCGGUGAAAUGCGUAGAUAUCAGUCGGAACACCGGUGGCGAAGGCGGCUUACUAAAGUAUGAUUGACGCUGAGGCACGAAAGCGUGGGGAUCAAACAGG